rnacentral:rRNA from 1 species
UACGGAGGGUGCGAGCGUUGUCCGGAAUCACUGGGCGUAAAGGGCGCGUAGGCGGCAGGCCAAGCGUGUGGUGAAAGCCCGGGGCUCAACCCCGGGUCGGCCAUGCGGACUGGCGUGCUUGAGCACUGUAGGGGCGGGUGGAAUUCCGGGUGUAGCGGUGGAAUGCGUAGAGAUCCGGAAGAACACCGGUGGCGAAGGCGGCCCGCUGGGCAGGAAGAGUGGAGCAAUCCAUCGGCUGACGCUGAGGCGCGACAGCGUGGGGAGCAAACAGG